GACGAACGCUGGCGGCGUGCUUAACACAUGCAAGUCGAACGGAAAGGCACUGCGUUUGUGGGGUGAUCGAGUGGCGAACGCGUGCGUAACACGUGAGUAACCUGCCCUAGACUUUGGGAUAACUUCAGGAAACUGGGGCUAAUAUCGGACAGCAGCUCCUCUUGCAUGGAGGGGGUGGGAAAGUUUCGGCGGGUGGGGAUGGACGGGCGGGUUAUCAGCUUGUUGGUGGGGGAGUGGCUUACCCAGCGUUUGAAGGGUAGGCGGCAUGAGAGGGUGACCGGCGACAUUGGGACUGAGAGACGGACCAGAGGGCUACGUGAGGCAGCAGGGGGAAGUAUGGCACAGUGGUCGCAAGCCUGAUGCAGAAGCGUUGCGUGCGUGAUGACGGCUUUCGGGGUGUAAACCGCUUUCGCCUGUUACGAAGCGGGAGUGACGGUAAUGAGUAAAGAAGCACCGGCUAACUACGUG
rnacentral:rRNA from 1 species